CCAAUGGUCAACUAGGGUUCCGGUCUGUACGCCAUUAAAACAGAUGCCUGGUCCGAGAGUUGACGACCUUUUCCAAGGUUACACGGCGGGACAAAAGCCCGGGAGAA
rnacentral:sRNA from 2 species